rnacentral:lncRNA from 1 species
CCCAAGCAGAACCUGACCCUGAGCAGGACCUGUUUCGAUCAGGACCUGUUCCCAAUCAGGACCUGUUCCCAAUCAGGACUUGUCCCCAUGCAGGACCUGUUCCCGACCAGGACCUGUUCCCAGUCAGGACCUGUUCCCAUGCAAGACCUGGCCCCAAGCAGGACCCGACCCCAUGCAGGACCCGACCCUGAGCAAGACCCGACCCCAAUCAGGACCCAGCCCCAAGCGGGACCUGUUCCCUAUCAGGACCCGAUCCCAAUCAGGACCCGAUCCCAAUCAGGACCUGUCCCCAACCAAGACCUGUCCCAGAGCAAAGCCUUUCCCCAGCCAGGACCCGUCCUGGAGCAGGCCCUGUGCCGUGUGUGCGGGAUGACCUGAGCUGUGUCCCCUUUUGGUGCAUGCGCUGCACUGACCUGCAAUGGCACCGUCCCCCUGUCCCCAUGUCCCCCUGUCCCCCUGUCCUCCCGUCCCCCUGUCCUCCCGUCCCCCUGUCCUCAUGUCCCCCUGUCCUCAUGUCCCCC